rnacentral:lncRNA from 1 species
UUGGAGGUGAUUAUUAUUAUCAUCAUUACAGACAAAAAAAAAUCAAUGAGCUAUGUUUCUCAUCUCAAAAGGUGGGAAGGUGAGGAAAAAUCAGCAAUUAAUAGCCAUGCAAUACAUGAUAAAAUCUUACAGCACGUGCUGAAUUCUUAGGAUAUUAGAGUCACGUACAACCCGCUGGGUGGUCACAAAAGGGGAAGUGAUUAAUUUUAUCGGGAGGAGGUUGGGCCUUGAAGGUUUGGUGAAGUUUCCCAAGACAGGAAAGAACAUGAGAAGCAACGUGUACAGAAAACAUAAUGGAUCCUGGGAGCAUUCAUUCAUUCAUUUAUCCACCAAUAAAUAUUUAUUUAGCACCUUAGUGUGUCAGGCACCGUACCAGUGAUGAAAGAAAAAAAUCCCACCAUCAUUCUCUCUUCAUGGAGCUUAUUACCUAAUGGGAGAGAUGAUGGACAAGAAACAAACAAAUGCCGAAGUCUAAGCAGCAGUAAGUACUACAAAGGGAGAAAGCAGGGUAACGAGGAAGAGGAGGACAAGAGAGAUCUACCUCCUCACGUAGGAUGGUUAGGGAAGGCUCCUAGGAAGAGUCAAUAUUUGAGCUCAGAUCUAAUGGAUAAGAAGAAACAGAUACGCAAAUACGGCGAGAAGAGGGGUCCAGGCCAUGGCACAGGACCACACAGACACAGACCCUGAGAAAAGGACAGUGUGUCUGGGUUGGAGGGCAUGCGAUGAGAAUGUGGAGCUAUUAUUGGGGAAAGGGUUUUAUCUGGUUGGCAAUAUUUCAGUAGAUUUUUCAAAAGGAUAAGUUACCUGAGCCAGAUAAAUGAUUGCCCAUCCAUGUUGUCUAACAUUUAUCCCACUAUUUGUUGUCGUUGCACUGCCUGCCCGUCUCCGAUCUUGCAAUAAAGACCCAGAAAAGCAUCAGAGCUCUUGCAGGUACAUUCGGAGUGUAACAGGUAAGGACAGGAGCUAACAGAUGCGGGAGUCACCACAUGAGACCGUGCAGACGCAGGCAAUGUGAACGAUCUACACAUCGUAACAAAAAUGGAAAAUACACGGCUUGGGCACUGGGGCCGGGCAGCUGGCAGGCAGAAAGCUGAGACUGCAGAGGGGAAAACUAGAGACCCUUGCUGUGCUCCCACCAAACAUUAGGCAGACCCAGGGCAGUGGGGACAGUGAUGAGGGAAAAGCGGGGAUGACGUGCAUCGGCCGCUCUUCGCUGCUUCGUAGUAGAGUAAGAACCAUGGAAAAUGGUUGGGUGAGACAAGAAGAACCGGUUUAUGAGCAGGGCAAUGCAGCUUUGUUAUGGGAGUUGUGUCUGCAUCCUGCAGCCCACGGCUUCUGCACCCCGAAGAGCAGGAAACUAUCGUGCAGAACUUUCUCAAAAGUCUCCAUUAAGUAAUACUGGCCAGGCGACGGGAGUAGCUCAACAGAAAAGGUCAGACCAAGGGCAUUGUUUUCCCACUUAAACUCCUUCCAGAAAGCUUCAAGGUGCCCAUUAAAUUGAGGGCUGGAGGAACAAGCAGAGACUAAGCAAGAUGCUGUUGACUUAAGAACUACAACAAGAGUAGACUUUGGGCUGCGGCUACUUUCAUGUGAAUGAACCAGAAGCAAGUAGGACAGAAGCCUACCUCGUUUCUGAUGAGAUUUUGUCACUUAUGUUGUGAGCACCCCUCAGAUUGAUCCCUAACCUGGAUUUUGGUCUGGAUGUCGACUAAUAGGCACACACACAUCAAGAGGGUAUGAAAAGGUUUAUUAUUCACAUCUUUCGGAACAUCAGGGCAGUCCCCACGUGGGUCCAAAAAUGAAUUGACUGGCUUGACUUUUAUUGGUCUUAGGGUGUGAGGCUGGGGAAAGGGUUUCUGCUCUCAGGCCAGGCUUGUGUGGUUUGAACCUCCCGCUGGGCCAAAGGAGGAGGCAUUCGGCCUUUCUAAUCAGCUUGGCCAGAUGUGGAGCACAGUGGCAGAGGGGGGAUGGCGAAGCAUGGAAGCUGUCAGCGGUCAAACAUAAAGCACGGAGUCAACCUCUCCAUCACAGCCAAAUAAGCCAUAAAUCCUCGUCGAUAAAAGCCUGUGUUUGUUCAAUCCCUGAGGAAAUCUAAGUCUACAAAUAUGCACCAGCAGGCAGGAGCCUGCAAAAGCGGUGAUAAACCCCAAAGUUUCAGAUGUGGCUGAGUUUGAUGACCUCCUAGAGGUCAAACCAGGGACCAGAGAGGACAAUGGUCAGGUUUCUCCAAAAUAACAGAUUCAAAGUUUAACCAAGGACCUUCUUUCCUGCUGGGGCAAAGGAUCUUUGUAAGUCCUGCUCCGAUUUUCAUCAUGGCAUGCGGCACUGACAGCUAUCCAUCAUCCCUGUCCUUUCCUUUAGGAGUUCUGGGUGCCCGGGUGGCUCAGUGGGUUAAGCAUCUGCCCUCGGCUCAGGUCGUGAUCUCAGGGUCCUGGGAUCGAGCCCUGCAUUGGGCUCCCUGGGCUCCUGGCUCAGCAAAGAGUCUGCUUCUCCUUCUGCCCCUCCCCCAGGGUGUGCUCUCUUUCUUUCUCUUUCUCUCAAAUAAAUAAAAUCUUUACUAGUCUUUCUCCUCCUUUUCCUUUUAGAAAUAAAACCCCUCCCCUGGAGUUUUAGUGGAACACACGUCCAUCUAGCUCAAGAGAACAUGUUCCCGCCCUCCUUGAAGCUAGGUACUAGCUACGUGGUAAGUGCUCACAAAUAACUGGGAGCACAAGUGAUGAGGGGAAGUUUCCUUAGAAGGAAAUCGCUUGCUCCCAAUUUCCUCUUUCCCAGGCUGCAAAGUGGAUAUGAUUCUUUGAGCCAAUUUUGACCAUGGAAGGAACAUCAUCCUUGAUAAUAAAAGAGCAACAAGGGUCCCUCCAACACCGUAUGAAACAGAGCUCCCCGACUGCCCUGGGCUUCUCUGCUCCCUACGGGGGGGCUCUGUGAGGAAGGACGCAUUCUUAUAUAUUUUGGGGCCUCUCUUAAAGCAGCUUCGACUGUUUCCUCACUUAUACAAAAAAGUGGAUUAAAGUAUUAAGAAGUUAAGCUUCUUUACCUUCGUAUGAUCUUAAAAACAGCCUCUCCUUGCCCCUCUGGAUUUUAACUUUAGCAACAAGUACAAAGAGCCUCACAUUUAAUGGGCUAUAAGCAUGGAAGACCUUGAAGCUCCAUGUGACCUCAUGAUUUCAGUAUGUUUCUCCUUUUUUCCAAAAAUCAACCUACAGAAUACAGUCCUCUGUACACUUUGGCUCUAAACAGAGGCCUUAAGUAAUAGAAAUGUAGGAGUGUCAAGCUGAUAAAUGAAAACUCAGAUCAAAAUAUAUCCGUUUACUGGGACGCCUGGCGGGCUCAGCGGUUGAGCGUCUGCCUUCCACUCAGGGUGUGAUCCCAGGGUCCUGGGAUCAAGUCUUGCACUGGGCUCCAGGCAUGGAGCCUGCUUCUUCCUCUGCCUGCAUCUCUACCUCUCUCUGUGUGUCUCUCAUGAAUAAAUAAAAUCUUUAAAAAAGACCAAAAAAGUGUAUAUAUAUAUAUAUAUAUAUAUAUAUAUAUAUAUAUAUAUAUCCAUUUCCCUUUUCCCCAACCUAUCACAUGUAUCUCUGUACUAUUUUUAUCUCUUCUCUGUAAUUAAUUAAUCAGAGGUUAUUGGAUUAAGAUAAAAUGGCUAGAGUCGACUUCCUCUCCCACUAUGUGACGCAAAGACGAUGAUGUUCUCGGGUUCCCAUUCUCCAGUGACUGUGGCUUCCGAAUGGCUCACGGUGUUGCUAAGACAACAGGGAUGCUGCAACAGAAAGCUGGUGCUGAAGUCAAGGCACUGGAGCUGCCUGAAAAGAUGUCAUCGACAGUGUGUUCAAGGCCUUGUUCACAGUGAGACUUGUAACACUGAAUUAGGAAAAAAAAAAAAAAAAAGGAUUGUACUCCUCCAACAUCCUUCCAUAGGUGACUAUGGCUCUCUCAAUGGCUUGUCCUCUGAAAUUUAGAAAGCAGUGGUAUGUGAACCAAGAGUCAGGGGGUGAUCAUCCCACUAAUACAUCUCCUUCUUAGGACCCUGACCAAGUACUGUCUUUAAGUUCCAAUUUGCCUUUAUUCUAAGAAGCGUGUUUGAAGGACCAUAGAAGAAAACAAAAAGAAGUUAUACUGUCAGCUGCUCCUUCACUAAAAAUGUA